UACGUAGGGGGCAAGCGUUGUCCGGAAUCAUUGGGCGUAAAGCGCGUGUAGGCGGCCCGAUAAGUCCGCUGUGAAAGUCCAGGGCUCAACCCUGGAAUGCCGGUGGAUACUGUCGGGCUCGAGUCCGGAAGAGGCGAGUGGAAUUCCUGGUGUAGCGGUGAAAUGCGCAGAUAUCAGGAGGAACACCGAUGGCGAAGGCGGCAGCCUGGUUCGUACCUGACGCUCGGACACGACAGCAUGGGGAGCGAACGGGG
rnacentral:rRNA from 1 species